GGUUUUGUAGUCAAUUGUUUAUGACAUCAGAAUGCAAUUCUGGGGUAGUUAUGAUAACUAAAGCCU
rnacentral:tRNA from 1 species